AAGCGAAAUGAAACGUAGUGAAAAAAAUGUUUAAAAUUGGGGAUCCGAUUCGAUCCGAUUCGAUCCGAUCCGUUAAGGUUAUCCUUCGGCAUCGACGCGCCUAUCCAGGGCUCCGUGCGGACUUCGUGGACUUACUUUGACUCCUGCUCUCUUCCUCUUCCGUGUCCAACUCAUAUACGAAGAAUCAGGUCUCCAGAAAACGAGCUCCCUAUCUCCACCUUUUUUUGUUUCAGAUACCGAGAUCUUUGCUCUGUUAGUUUAAAUUACAUCACUCCCUUACUACAUUGCGUUGAUUUCACAACAGAAGAUUUGGAAGCGCUGGCGUUGUAAUGGCAUAGGUUUUGUUCCUUCUUGGAAGUACAAAUAUUCAUAACUCCAGAGGGAGCUAGUGCUUUCUGCAAUGGAUAAUGGCAAUGCCGGCCACCGUUUCCGGAGAAUAUCUCGGCAGUCUGUUGCUCAUCUCAAGUUGGACCCAUUGGCAGUAUCAGGACUGAAAGUGAACCUACACAAAUACGAAUUAGUGGUUUUGGACAUCUCCUUGGAUGACAUACUUGUCCGUUUUUUAGAUUGUAAAUUAUCUUAUCUUCUCAUUACUUAUCUUGGUGCUAAAUUCAAAGAUAAAAGCUGUUGGGAUCCGAUAAUUGAUAUGUUUCAUAAUCAUCUUGCAAAUUGGAAGAGGAGAUUCUUAUCCAAGGAAGACAGACUUACACUCAUCAAAAGCACACUCUCAAAUCUUUCCAUCUACCUAUUAUCUGUAUUUAAUAGUCCGAGCAGAGCAGUGUUGCCAACAAAGUCGAGGUCAUACAAUGCAAUUUUCUUUGGGGUGAUGGUGACAACAAUAGCAAAAAACUUCAUCUUGUGAACUGGAAAGAAAUCAAGAAAUCUUUCAAAGAAGAUGGACUCGGUCUAAGAUCAAUUGACAAACUAAAUAAAGCUCUACUUGGAAAAUGGAUAUGAAGAUUUUGGAAUGACAACGACAAGCUUUGGAAAUCAAUCAUUAUGAGUAAAUGGUUCA